AAUAAGACCCGGAAGUUGUCCAAGGCUGCCUCCAGGAACUUUUGGGCUUUGUGUUGAACUGUGUUCAGGAGACUUGUCUUGUCCCAGGGGACAAAAAUGUUGCAGCAAUGGUUGUGGCCACUCCUGCCAAACCACUGUUCAAGACGAGGACUUCCCUAUCUCUUCCGGUGAUCAAUGAAGCUUAGCCUCCUUCAGUGACCAUUCACAAAUGUCAUCUUUCUUCCAAUACCUGGUAAUGGGUUUUCCCACUAUGUUUUCCUGGCCGCUCUCCCUUCCUGGAACCCCAGUACCACAGGAUGAGGAUCUCAAUCAACUUUGGCUUGAGUGCUCAGUUCUGGCAAUUGUUGGAGGUAUCAUGGGGUACCUGCUUCCACAAUUAUUCUUCUUCUGAAUAAAAUUAUUUCUGUGGCAUUA